GACGAACGCUGGCGGCGUGCUUAACACAUGCAAGUCGAACGGAAAGGCCCUGCUUUUGUGGGGUGCUCGAGUGGCGAACGGGUGAGUAACACGUGAGUAACCUGCCCUUGACUUUGGGAUAACUUCAGGAAACUGGGGCUAAUACCGGAUAGGAGCUCCUGCUGCAUGGUGGGGGUUGGAAAGUUUCGGCGGUUGGGGAUGGACUCGCGGCUUAUCAGCUUGUUGGUGGGGUAGUGGCUUACCAAGGCUUUGACGGGUAGCCGGCCUGAGAGGGUGACCGGCCACAUUGGGACUGAGAUACGGCCCAGACUCCUACGGGAGGCAGCAGUGGGGAAUAUUGCACAAUGGGCGGAAGCCUGAUGCAGCAACGCCGCGUGCGGGAUGACGGCCUUCGGGUUGUAAACCGCUUUCGCCUGUGACGAAGCGUGAGAAACGGUAAUGGGUAAAGAAGCACCGGCUAACUACGUG
rnacentral:rRNA from 1 species